rnacentral:rRNA from 1 species
CUACGUGCCAGCAGCCGCGGUAAUACGGAAGAUCCGAGCGUUAUCCGGAUUUAUUGGGUUUAAAGGGAGCGUAGGCGGGAAUCCAAGUCAGUUGUGAAACCCUGCGGCUCAACCGUAGUCGUGCAGUUGAAACUGGAUUUCUUGAGUGCGCACAGGGCAGACGGAAUUUGUGGUGUAGCGGUGAAAUGCUUAGAUAUCACGAAGAACUCCGAUCGCGAAGGCAGUCUGCCGGGGCGCUACUGACGCUGAGGCUCGAAAGUGCGGGUAUCAAACAGGAUUAGAUACCCUGGUAGUCCGCACUGUAAACGAUGGAUACCCGUGGUCGGUUUUUUUAUUCGGUCACCAAGCGAAAGCGUUAAGUAUCCCACCUGGGGAGUACGCCGGCAACGGUGAAACUCAAAGGAAUUGACGGGGGCCCGCACAAGCGGAGGAACAUGUGGUUUAAUUCGAUGAUACGCGAGGAACCUUACCCGGGCUUGAAUUGCAGAGGAAGGA